rnacentral:rRNA from 1 species
UUGUCUUUUGCGUACUUCUUGUUUCCUUGGUGGGUUCGCCCACCACUAGGACAAACAUAUAAACCUUUUGUAAUUGCAAUCAGCGUCAGUAACAAAUUAAUAAUUACAACUUUCAACAACGGAUCUCUUGGUUCUGGCAUCGAUGAAGAACGCAGCGAAAUGCGAUAAGUAGUGUGAAUUGCAGAAUUCAGUGAAUCAUCGAAUCUUUGAACGCACAUUGCGCCCUUUGGUAUUCCAAAGGGCAUGCCUGUUCGAGCGUCAUUUGUACCCUCAAGCUUUGCUUGGUGUUGGGCGUCUUGUCUCUAGCUUUGCUGGAGACUCGCCUUAAAGUAAUUGGCAGCCGGCCUACUGGUUUCGGAGCGCAGCACAAGUCGCACUCUCUAUCAGCAAAGGUCUAGCAUCCAUUAAGCCUUUUUUUCAACUUUGACCUCGGAUCAGG